UGUGUCAAACGACAUCUACACAAAAACCCUAAUCGGAUGCUCCUAUUUUCUCCCACACCACUAUCGCACAAGCAGUGAAGCAACAUCCAUUCUCCAACCUCACAACACCCACCGUCUCCUCCAUCUCUCUACCCUCGCAAUAAUUUUCUAGCGACCAACCCCCACUACGAUCCAUCUCUACCUCUCUUCUCUAUCCUAACUUACUAUCCAUACCUGACACCACUCAUCGUCAUAGAUAACGUAAUCACCGAUGCCUCCAUCUCCGCCAUCAUCCAGUGGCAAAGCGUCAACGGCCAUCAUGCUUGGAAUCUAGCAUCAGUGACCUAACUCAUUCAACCGACCCUAAAAAGGCCCUUUUGUUCUAUGCUAAUCUCACUAAGGUAAAUUUCAAGAAUAUAUGCUUUUUUUGUUUGAUUAUUCCUUAUCAAUGUGUAUAACUAUUUCUUGCAUUUUGCAUUCACGUCACAUCCUUGCCCAACUCAAUGGAGUCUUGAUGCACCAUUGUUCUUCCUACGCUACCACAGCCACACUCCUCUUCUCUACACAAACAGACACACAUUGUUGAUAGACCCACCUCCAUUUCUUCUGACUGAUUAUUCUUUGGUUUAUGCAGGUCAAAUGAGUAAAAAAGAUUACUAAACAUACUGAUUGCAUAAGAAAUUGGGUUAUCAGUUAAUUAUAGUGAAGGCUGAAAAUUACAUGAGGUUACCAACUAAUUAUAGUGAAGGCUGAAAAUUACAUGAGUUGAUUUCCAAAUCAGAUGUAGGUGAUGGAAUCAAUUUGGAGUUCUGGAGAGGUGUAUCAAGCCUUGAAAAGCUUGAAUCUUAAGAUAAAUGAAGUUAGUCUUCACUGUUCAGACCGGUGGAUAUAGCCAAGACAUGAUCUCUAUAGUGAGCUUUUCUUUAUCAAAGAUCAAUAAAGGAUUUGUCAUGGUAAUUAAGUGUACACAUAAUUAUAUGCAUCUUGCCAUUCAAAGUCGUUGAUCCCAGGUUUAACUCUAUGGAUCCCAAUGGUUGCAAUUUCCUUACUCCAGACAACCCUCCUCCUCCUCUCGAUAAACAAUUCAAAGAGGCAUAAUCAUUGAUUUUCGAUCAUCCACCGCUAUGGGUUCCACUGAUAAUUUUGUGGCUAUGUUGUGGAAGGUAAUUAGUUUUUAUUUGUUGAAGUGAAACUAUUCAUCAUUUUUAGACAUGAAAGCGUUCUUCAAUUUCAUUGAAAGCAUAUAUGACGAAAUAUAAAACAAUCGGCUGAAGUACACAAUCUGCGGAACAAAUCAAAAGUAAUAGUGAAACCCGACAAACAUUUCAAAAGCAGUGAAGUCUAUAUAUUAAAUGUGGUGUCUAAAAAGUGUUGCACGAUUAAUAAUGCACAAUCAAUCAUGUAUCCAUGUAUAUUUGUAAAAAUCCUAACUUUUCAUUUGUAAUUGUAUUUCUGCUAGCAUUACUCUUA